UUAGGAAGAGCUCCCAGAACGGAAGUUGAAACACAGCCGCUGGCAGUACGAUAGCCAGCCCAACGGCAGGCUGAAUAGCUGCUGAAAUGAGAGAAAAACUGUGUGCGACGAGGCGAACGACCUGACUCCCCACUUUUUCCUUGACUCGGACGUUAGCAAGGUGAAGCACCGAGAAAAAGGGAGAACCCCAAAGACAGUGCCUGCAGCUGCGGUCGUUACGGAAAUACUACAUAGUACUUAAAAUGCCGAGGCUCUGACGGAACAGCAUCCUUUCACAUUAUGUCUCUAAGGAAGCCUUUUAGUGAAGAGGAUGUAGGACCACUUCUGACUUUAGGAGACCGUGUGGUGUGGUUGUUUGAACAUGGGCCUGAACAUGGCUGGGUUCGUUGGAUCGGUCGAAUUCCUGUUGUUUCUCCCAAUUGGACCAUUGGCGUUGAAUUUGAUAAUCCCAUUGGGGCAGGAGAUGGAAAGUUUGGUGGGAAGCGCUACUUCUAUGCCAGAAAUGAUCAUGCCUACUUUCUACCAAACUCAAGUUUGCUUCGUGCUUGUGACUACAACAGUAGCUUCCGAAAACAAAACUCUCUUGAACGGUCUAUACCUGGUAUUCAGGCAAAGAUGUUCACCUUCCCGCAUCAAUACAGUGUGGCCAAGUAUCCUUUUCCUGGCUCUGCAAAAGAUGUUGAAGCCACCCACUUAACUUCAGCUCAUCUUAUCAGCUCCUGCAGCAGCAGGGAGCGUGGUGUGUGUGGUACUAGCAAGCUACACCAGUCCCACUCGACUUAUGCAAAGGAUGAGCCCAACUUAUCAGAUUAUGACAACUGGCUAGAUAGCAAGGAUCCAUGCAAUGUGCACGUGAAGUCCUGGAAAAGCAGCAGCACCCACUCAGUGGUGAGCUGUCCACCUGUGCUACUCCCCAAAAUGCUUGUAACACGUGAGCAGUCCUCAAGCUCAGACAGCGAUGUGAAUUUUGGGAGCCUGCGUUCUCUUAUGUCCUGUUUUACUUUGGGCUCGCACCGUAAAAAGAAGCGCAGGAAGAAAAAGAAGAAAAGCCAUCGUCUAGUGAUUGUGACAGGCUCGGACAACAGCAACUACUGUUGUCCUAGUGGAAGUGCAUCUGCUGCACAAGUACAACAACAUGCAUGUGAGGGUGACAUUCGGCAUUCUGCUAAGAAGUAUGGCACAAAGGAGCUGCCUUGUGUAUCUAGUGGUCCAAAGGCCAUCUGGAGGUACUCUCUGCAGGAAAAAGACCUGCAGAAAAUUGAUGCUUGUGAAGAUCCUGUCACCAUAGAAGUUACAGAGCAGAAGGCCCCACCAAAACUCCCUCCAAAAACCUGUACGAGAAAGAAACGCUUGGCUCCACAGCCUCCUGGUGAUAGCAUUACCCCAACAGGGACACUACAGAGAAAACAGCCUUUGCCACCAGUGGCUGUUUCUUGUAGCUCUUCUUCAAUGAGCACUGAGAGCCUAAGCUUGACCCGACGGCGACCUCGGAAAAAGCCUGCACCACAGCCACCUAGGCGUGAUGUUUGGCAUUCAAUAGCCAAAUCAGGAACUCUUCCAAGUGUAAUAGAAAAAGGAUUAUAUGCCAAUGAACUCGCAAUAGAUACCAAACCAGUGAAUAGUUUAAAAGUGCAGUCACUUCCAAAAACUGAUGUCAAUAUAUCUGGCACUUCUGCUGUUCAUCAUUAUUUACUUGAAACACAGCAUUGUGAACAAGCUGUAAAAAGACAAGAAUAUGGGAAAAAUUUAGCUGACUUGGUAGUCAAACCUGACCUCCCUGUUAAAACAAUUCUGAGCCCUGUUACCUAUGUAGAUGAUGACAGUACUAAGGCUACUGAAUGUGUUAUUUCCACUAAAAACAAAAGCAUUAAUGACAGUCAAGAUGUUAAAAUGUUUCAUGAGAAAGGCAAACGAGCUUUCAUCAGACCAGUAAUCUCAGAGUGUGAAAGAAGCGUUAUUCAACAACCUCAAGCCUCCAGUCGGGAAGUGCGGUCAUCUACCCUACCACCAACUAGGCAGUGCCCUCCUAUUUUAGAAGAGGAGGAACCAUAUGCCAGCACUGCAGUAGGUGGAGAGUCCAACAACUUAGAAUCUGUAUUGAAACGUAAUUCAAAUGUGUUAGAGCUGUUAGAUGCUUUUAGCAAGCUUGAAUUGAAUUCUGAUGAGACUCAAAAGGACAGUGAGCCUGAGUCACCAAAGCACUCUCGAAAGCAAGGGAAAUCUCUGAAGUCACUCUUUCAGAAACACCCAGCAGAUGCCAGCAAAGUUGUCUCUACAAAAUGGACAUAUACUCCAAUGGAAUCCAAGAAAGAUAACUUUUUGACCGCUUUAAAGCCUGGAUCUCAUGUUACUGCGGUACUUGAGGAUAAGGGAGCAGCAGAUUCUAAGACUGAAAACAUUGACACGAGUUUGUGGGAAUAUGAGGCAAAGUGGGUCAAGGACCUGCCAUCUCAAUCUCCUAUGAAUAUGCAAUUAGCAUCUUGUAGAAUGAACCUCAAGCCCAUCAGCCAUUCUCCUGACUUUGGCAAUGUGUUUUGCAAAAUUCGUCAGCAAGGAGGAAGCCCUUCUCCUGGAAAUCCACCUUGGAAACACCAACAGCAAACUGCGAGAAUGCUGCCAGACGAACUAAGACCAAGAUUCUCAGAGCUGCCAGCUGUGGAGGCUAAAAAUAAAACUUCCAGAGGGAAGAAGGAAGGUGGAGGGGGCUUGGUUGCCGAAACUGUCUCGUGUGCAAACGCGGCUUCCACUGCUGCAUGCUCACUUGAAGUGAUGGCAGGCAAGGCCUCGCCUGUGUCUUUACCCCAGAUCUCAACACAUGCCAAUGCUCAUACAAGUUCAGGAAGGAUGCGACCACCAGUUCAUCCAAAUUCCCCAACUGCUCUUAUGCAAGCAAAAUUACCAGCUCUAUUUCGGCAGCUUGAAGAGGCAAUCAGCAAAGGAGAGCAUGAUAGAGCUGCGAUUUUGGCGAGAGAGCUGGCCAUGUACAAGGUGUCCUGUUCUCUACGACGAGUCCGGAAAGUAGCACCAGACCCUAAGCAGUUUAUAGUAAAAAUGUAUGUGGAAGAUAGGAAGUCUCAUGUUGGACCAUUUUCAUUGCCAGUCCAUCCAGAAAUGACCGUCAGCAAUCUUAAAAAAAAGGUUGAGGCUGAGUACAAUAUUCCUGCAAGAGUCCAGCGAUGGAUCCUGGGCAAGAACCUGGCCACUGAUGAUGGGGCUACACUGGAACACUUUGGUGUGAGCCACAGUGCAUGCCCUGUCUUCUUGUACCUGGUGAGCCCAGCAGAGGAGCUAAGGGCUGAAGAAGUCAUUCGAAAUAGGUGCUGGAAGCCCUCAGAUAGUGUUGUUAGCACUGAAGAAGGUGAAGAUUUGGCAAAUGCAAUUGCCAGACAAGAACCUUCUGAUGCAUCUAGUACUUUGGAUGUCCUCCUUAAUGACUAUGCAGCAGGUUGGACCUGUCAGCUAUGUGGUAUAAAUAAUACGGAACCAGGUACAUGUGCAAUGUGUGGUGUUGCGAUGGUUAUGGAUGCGAGUCGCCAAAGCGUGGGUGCUGACCAGAAUGUUAAAACUACUCUUGCUUACAAUGCUGAACCCGGUGAAGUACAUGACCAACUUGAAGCCAGCAAUAGUCCUGCUCAAGCUCACCUGCCUCUCAAUGAGGAAGAUGGAAGCCCUGUCGAGGAACCAGAACAAGCUCCUUCACCUCAAACUUCAUUGCCUCAAGACUACAUGCGGCUUGUCGAACUUGAUGAACAAGACUUGGUACCAAGCAUGGAAGCAUUUGAGUGCUCAGUUUGCUUUCUAGGCAUAGAGCCUGGUCAAGGGGUCCUGUUGAGAGAUUGCUUACACAUGUUUUGCAGAGAGUGCCUGUCAAGCUCUGUUCGCUAUGCUGAAGAGGCUAUGGUAAAGUGCCCUUUCAGAAACAACGAAUAUUCAUGCAGCAGUCAUCUACAAGAAAGGGAGAUCAGGGCGCUGGUGAGCCCAGAGGUGUAUGAGCACCACUUGUCACGUAGUGUGAAGACUGCCGAAAGCCAGGCACCUAAUAGCUUUCAUUGCAAGACUCCAGACUGUCCUGGUUGGUGUAUGCUAGAGGACAACGUCAACACCUUCAUGUGUCCUGUGUGUGGCCACCAAAACUGCCUCACCUGCCGGGCCAUCCACGAGGGCAAGAAUUGUCUCCAGUACCAGGACGAGCUAGAUUUUAAUGCCCCCAACGGCCAGGAGGCAAAGCAGACAAAGGAAUAUUUAGAUAAAAUGGUGCAGGAAGGCCAAGCAAUGCACUGCCCGCAAUGUCGUGUUAUUGUCAUGAAAAAAUGGGGUUGCGACUGGCUGAAAUGUUCUGUGUGCCAGACAGAAAUCUGCUGGGUUACUAAAGGUCCUCGAUGGGGACCUCAGGGCAAAGGAGAUACUUCUGCUGGCUGCAAAUGUGGAGUGAAUGGAGUAAAAUGCCAUCCCAAAUGCAACUACUGCCACUGAUCUUUGAACAUCAAGACAAAUGAGUGAGAGAGAGUUUUUGAAGGAAAUGAGAAGUCACACUACAAUAGGCAUUGAAAUCAGGACAACUUGGACAAGGCUGAUAUUGCACUCUUGAAGAGAUCAGCAUUCUUCGAUUUAGCAUUCUCUAGUCACUUGAUUGAACUGAAAGGCAUUGUUUGUAAUGUUGAUGGAUGCAAUAAAACAGUAAUAGCUACAACUAA
rnacentral:misc_RNA from 1 species